UCAUCUGCUAGGCCAGCUUCCUGUGAGUAAGCCAGUGCUAAAGAAGAGGGCUAAGGAAAAGCUAAAAAUUCAUUGGGAUAGAUGCAGCGCCAAUUAAUUUCCGCCAAUUUCCGCGGUGAGUGCUAAGUACUUCGAUUAAGAGUUUGCAGGAUUUCUAGAAUAGGAAUAGGCUUUUUCUUUAGAGUAAGACUCUUUGCUUGCUUCUUUCGGCCAGCUCAGCGGAUGAGUGGCCGUAUUCGACACCUCUUUCUCUUACGGCUAGUGCGCUAUUUGAGAUAGAUUGGGAUAGAUGCAGCGCCAAUUAAUUUCUGACAAUUUCCGCGGUCAGUGCUAAGUACUUUGAUUAAUAGUUUGCAGGAUUUCUAGAAUAGGAAUAGGCUUUUUCUUUAGAGUAAGACUCUUUGCUUGCUUCUUUCGGCCAGCUCAGCGGAUGAGUGGCCGUAUUCGACACCUCUUUCUCUUACGGCUAGUGCGCUAUUUGAGAUAGUUGAAAAGGGGUGUAGCGAUAGAAAGUUUUGAAUCAAUAAUUCCUCAAAAGUCAUUGC
rnacentral:lncRNA from 1 species